rnacentral:rRNA from 1 species
AUGAUCCGUCGGUAUUGGUGGGGAGCAGAGAAAGGAAAACGCAAGACCCACUGGGUCAGUUGGGACAGCAUGCUACGACCUAAAGGAAGAGGUGGUAUGGGCUUCAAGGAUCUUCGGUUGUUUAAUCAAUCUUUGUUAGCACGUCAAGCAUGGCGUCUCAUAGAAUUUCCGGAUAGCCUUUGUGCUCAGGUUCUCCGUGCGAAGUACUACCCGUCUGGCAAUAUUACAGAUACAGUUUUUACAGGUAAUGGGUCAAGCACUUGGCUGGCUAUUGAACAUGGCUUGGAACUGGUAAAGCAAGGGUAUAUAUGGCGCGUCGGAAAUGGAGCAAACAUCAGAAUAUGGCGCGACCCCCGGAUCCCAAAUGGUGCACCUUUCAAACCGAUCACGCCUAAGCGCCGCUGCAGACUCAAAUGGGUGGCCGAACUUCUGAACACGGAUGGCACAUGGAAUGUUCCAAUCCUCAGGCAACACUUUUUCCCAAUAGAUGUCGCAAAUAUACUGAAAAUCAAGGCAUCUAAGCGGUUAGGGGAUGAUUUAUCGCAUGGCAACCAGACAAACAUGGGUGCUUCUCAGUCCGCUCAGUGUAUAACAUGA